UACGGAGGAUCCAAGCGUUGUCCGGAUUUAUUGGGUUUAAAGGGUGCGUAGGCGGUUUGAUAAGUCAGUGGUUAAAGACUCUUGCUCAACGAGAGGGAUGCCAUUGAUACUGUCAGACUUGAGUAUUGUAGAGGUAGGCGGAAUUGGUAGUGUAGCGGUGAAAUGCAUAGAUACUACCAGGAACACCGAUUGCGAAGGCAGCUUACUGGGCAAUAACUGACGCUGAGGCACGAAAGCGUGGGGAGCGAACAGG
rnacentral:rRNA from 1 species